AUUAUUUCUUAACUUACAGUACGCUCUAUACAUUGCAAUGGAAGCUCAGUGUGAUUUCCCUGAGGAAAACAUGCAGCACGUUAGGCGAUGGUGGUGCUUAGUUGUCCUGCAGAACUUUCCCAUGCCGUGUGAAGAAGAGGUUGAAAGAUCAAAAAAGGCUGCGAAAACAAAACACACUACAGGAUGUAGAAGACAUCCCCCC